GACAGAGGUCCCGAGCGUUAGGCGGAAUCACUGGGCUUAAAGCGUGUGUAGGCGGAUUGGUAAGUACCUUGUGAAGUCCCACGGCUUAACCGUGGAACUGCUUGGUAUACUGCUUAUCUUGGGCCACUUAGGGGUUACCGGAACAAACGGUGGAGCGGUGAAAUGCGUAGAUAUCGUUUGGAACGCCAAUGGUGAAAACAGGUAACUGGGAGUGUGCCGACGCUGAGACACGAAAGCCAGGGGAGCGAACGGG
rnacentral:rRNA from 1 species